GGUAAACCAAAACAUUUUCAUGUACAAUUAGAAAGCAAGGUCAGACAGCACUGCCUAUAGAAUAAAUACCUAGCUAUUUGCAUACAGCUGUUUCUAUCUAUUAGAUGUGUUAACUCAAUUUUUGUGCAUUUAGAGGUACAGAAGCUUUGCCAUGCUUUAAAUAAGUGAAAAGUCCCCAGGGAUUUCCUUCUUUGUUACAGUGAUCUCAUUUUGUUGUGUACAAGCAGGAGGGCAAGUGUGCACUUGGAUGAUGAUGAAAAUGAACUUAACCAUCCAGAAUGAGAUUUUGACUGUAGAAUCGGCAUUCCCAGACACGAGUAUAUUGUCCUUGAGUUCCAUUCCACUUGUGAGAGACUGGUGGCCUGUUAGCGUGUGAAUGCAGUUGCCUGUCUCCACAUCCCAAACUCGGAUGGAAGUAUCAAGAGAUCCACUCACCACAUGGAUACCAUCAAACUACAAGAAAGUCCUGCCAGACUGUGGUGAGAACAGGCACAAGCAUGAAAUUAAUUUCUUUCGCCUUUCAAUGCCUGGAAGUGAUGCUCUGACUCUAUGAAUGAGCAAGACAAUCUUUUGGGUUAGUAAAGGUAAGGAAAGUCUACAUGAGGGCUCUGUGCAUCUUUGCCAGCUUUGUUCUGAUGAGCAGUCUGGGUGAACGGAAGGCAAUAGAGCCAUGCCACAGAGCACUACCACAAUAACCUGCAUCUACAGUAACAUGUUGCUGUUGACAAAGCCUCACAGUUGUAGAUCUGGCCUCUACUCAGAGAAGAGGAAGUAGAAGGCUGGAUAUUUACACUGGAACAUUAAAAUUUUAGGUUCAGUCUUACUGUGAAUUAUAGUUUGGAACUGGAAGAUGGGAGUACAAAAUAAGGAUAAGCAGAUCUGCAUAAUUCAGAACAUUAAUCCAAUGAGGGGUUUGGCACAUUUUCAAUUACUGUAUCAUCUGAUUUAUUUAAAACCAGUAAGUUUUGAAUUUCUUUUGGGAAAGCAAAAACAUAGCUUCAAAACACAUGCAAGGUUUAAAAAAAUACCCAACCAAACAACCCAGCAACCACAAAACUAUUUCAUUUGCUGGUAUACCAGAUUUGGGCUUUAUUGUACUGGGUGCUUUAGAAAAUACUUCUCUAAAAAAAGUAUGUCUGUUUCUAAAUAAAGACAACAUAUAACUAGCGUAACAAAAUGAAAGCGGGGACUAUCGCAGAUGCUUCUGUGUUCUUGUGGCCUGUGUCAUUCUGAAGUAGGUACCCACAACUUAAUAAACAAGGUGAAAUAAACUGACUUCAAAUGUUACUUAAGGAAACUAAAGCAGCAGAUGAAAAUCACAUACCUGUAAUGAGUAGACUCUGUUAGUAUGCCCUUGCAGUGUGUGCAGACAGGUCUCUGUCUCUGGAUCCCACACUUUGACCAUAAAAUCAUAUGCACCACUUACAACUCUUCUGCCAUCAUACUGAACGCACCGAACUGCAGCUACGUGGCCCAUCAGAACGUGUAAACACUGGCCCGUCUCUAUGUCCCAAACUCUCAGGGUAGCAUCUCGAGACCCACUGACCACUCUGGAGGAACAAGAAAACCCCUCCUGUACUUAGCAUCGGACAUAAAAGUAUUACAAUAAAUCAGUUACAUGUUUUAUUUUGAGGCAUGAGAUAGCAUUAGUCCACUACCCACCAAAGAUCCAGUCUGGCAUUUUAUUAGGGUCAAAAAUUACUGCACUGUUUUUCCUUCUGUGCUUUACUUACCUCCCCAGAAUCUAUUGAUAUAAUUAGCAAUCAGUAUUUAAAAAGGCAUUUAAUUCCUGAACAGCAAAACGAUGAUGCCAUGAGAAAUUAUGUAGGCUCUUGUAUCUGCCUAUGAAAGCUUAUGAAUGUGCUGAGCUCCAGUCAGUGCUAGGAGCAUUCUGUUUUAAUGACUAAGUUAACUAAUUAUACCAAUUAAACGAGAUCUUUAGAAGUUUUUGUAAAGUAACAGUUAUUCUGCUUGAUUCUUUUCAGUUUAAACUUUUCAAGGCUUUUUUAGGGAAGAACAGAAUUGAGAAGGAAUUAAUGAAACUGAUAAAGAUAAAACCUCAUCAUUCUUUGAAAAAGAAGGAAAGCAAGCAACAGGCACACUGUCAGCAGCUCCAUACCACAGCCAAGUAAAGGAGCUUUGCCAGCAUUCGUUGUGUGGAUCAAGACAUGGUUUACUAUUGCAGGAAUGAUGAUAUAAUCAGCUAAAACGUACAGAAAAGACUGCAGUGCUGAUACUUAAGCAGUCAUUCUGCAAGAUGAGUACAAGUUUGUGGCACUGACAAAAAGAAGAAAUUAUUUAGUGUGGGAGACUGGAUCACAGCGUAACAAAGAACUAGUUUUGAAAUAACGCAGAAUGUGACUUUAUAAAGUACGUGACUCAAUUUCUGUUCUUUAAUUAGCAAUCUUGUGCUUUUGCUUCUA